AAAGAGAAAUUACUCAGAUUAACUCUAAUCAUACAUAUAAUGACUAGAGUAACUCAUAUAUUUAUGUAUUUACUAGAAUAACUUACAAGGGACACAAAAAUACCAAAAAACCAGUCUAAACCUCAUUAUUCACUGUUUUGCCAUUUUAUUUUAUUAAUAUGAAUAAAAUUUUAAUUGUAAGAAAAAUAGAAAUCUUCACUUCUCUUUCUCUCUCGCUUAAACUGUCGACAGAGAAAAAAACUUGCGACUUCUUCUUCUUCUCCUACGCUCAUCUCCGAUCUCAGGCAACUCCUUCUCCGUCACCACCUCCAAGUCACGGACGCCUUCGAUUUCGAAAACCCCACAUCUCGUAUUCAUGUUUGUUGCGAGAGAGAAACCCUAAUUCCAUACCACCGCAUACAAUUCCCAGAAACUUAAACUUGAUGGCUUCAUCUUCUGCCAUUAGAAUGUAUCCUCGGCGCUUGUACGAAGUUGGGAGAACACCAAUUCAGAACAGAAGCAUGAAUAAUAGCUGCUUUUUGUCGAAUCUUCAGAUGGUUGAAGAAAAUGUUGGUUUGCGCAGGUGUUUUCAUUCGCAGCAAUGAUUCAUGCUUCAGGUGUUUUCAUCCGGAAACAGAGUGAUGGCUCAGAUGUCGUUGGAUUUGAAGAGAUGCAAGGCUGAUGUCGUGGUCGAGAAUAAUGGAGAUCUCGACCACCUCAACCAACAGUUCAGUAUGGUGUUGUCUGAAAUCAGAAGACCACUGACGUGGAUUGAGUUUUGGCGUUCAAGGCAAGGAGCCUUCUCGGUUCUUGGUUUGGUCAUUUCAGGACUAUUUGUUUGCAAACGGUUCAGUUAUUGACUCUUAGCAAUUGCUUUUAAUAUUUCUACUGUUUUGUGUAGCAUAUGUUAUGAAUCAUAACUGCGUCCAGGUUCCAGACUUUAAAAAGUUCUUUUUUCAAAAUAAAGUUAAAACUCUACAAAAUAAAA